AGCCCGCUCAGAAACUUAAAGGAAUUGACGGGGACCGCACAAGCGGUGGAUGAUGUGGAUUAAUUCGAUGCAACGCGAAAACCUUACCUACCCUUGACAUGUACGGAACCCUGCUGAGAGGUGGGGGUGCUCGAAAGAGAGCCGUAACACAGGUGCUGCAUGGCUGUCGUCAGCUCGUGUCGUGAGAUGUUGGGUUAAGUCCCGCAACGAGCGCAACCCUUGUCAUUAGUUGCUACGCAAGAGCACUCUAAUGAGACUGCCGGUGACAAACCGGAGGAAGGUGGGGAUGACGUCAAGUCCUCAUGGCCCUUAUGGGUAGGGCUUCACACGUCAUACAAUGGUCGGUACAGAGGGUUGCCAAGCCGCGAGGUGGAGCCAAUCCCAGAAAGCCGAUCGUAGUCCGGAUUGUAGUCUGCAACUCGACUGCAUGAAGCCGGAAUCGCUAGUAAUCGCGGAUCAGCAUGUCGCGGUGAAUACGUUCCCGGGUCUU
rnacentral:rRNA from 1 species